rnacentral:SRP_RNA from 1 species
GCGGGUUAGUCUUACACGACCAGCUCCCUUCUAAUCCCCCAGGUCAGGAAUGAAGCAAGGGUCGAGGGUUGAGCGGUGCGAUGUAAUUAGCUAACCCG